rfam:Triticum urartu cultivar G1812 contig486339, whole genome shotgun sequence.
GACAACCGUGAUGAGCCAAUUUUACAGUUACAGACCUGUAAUGACUCCUGCGGAAAUGAUCGCAUGGUCAAAGAACAUCUAAGGGACUGAGUUGUC